UGGACUUGACAUGGUGCUGCAAGCGCACGGAAACGUGUGACCUUCGAGGGUGCACCACAGAUGCUGCAUGGCUGUCGUCAGCUCGUGUCGUGAGAUGUUGGGUUAAGUCCCGCAACGAGCGCAACCCCCGUGGCGUGUUGCCAGCAUUAAGUUGGGGACUCACGCCAGACUGCCGGUGACAAACCGGAGGAAGGUGGGGAUGACGUUACGGUCUUACU
rnacentral:misc_RNA from 1 species